rnacentral:rRNA from 1 species
CCUACGGGAGGCAGCAGUGAGGAAUAUUGGUCAAUGGCCGUAAGGCUGAGCCAGCCAAGUAGCGUGAGGGAAGACUGCCCUAUGGGUUGUAAACCUCUUUUAUGCGGGGAUAAAGGUGUCCACGUGUGGAUGUUUGCAGGUACCGCAUGAAUAAGGACCGGCUAAUUCCGUGCCAGCAGCCGCGGUAAUACGGAAGGUCCGGGCGUUAUACGGAUUUAUUGGGUGUAAAGGGAGCGUAGAUGGGUUGUUAAGUCAGUUGUGAAAGUUUGAGGCUUAACCGUAAAAUUGCAAUUGAUACUGGCAGUCUGGAGUACAGUUGAGGUAGGCGGAAUUCGUGGUGUAGCGGUGAAAUGCGUAGAUAUCACGAAGAACUCCGAUUGCGAAGGCAGCUUACUAAACUGCAACUGACAUUGAUGCUCGAAAGUGUGGGUAGCAAACAGGAUUAGAUACCCGAGUAGUC